UACGUAGGGUGCGAGCGUUACUCGGAAUUACUGGGCGUAAAGCGUGCGCAGGCGGUUUUGUAAUCCCGAUGUGAAAUCCCCGGGCUUAACCUGGGAAUGGCAUUUGGGACUGCAAGGCUUGAGUGCGGCAGAGGAGACUGGAAUUCCUGGUGUAGCAGUGAAAUGCGUAGAUAUCAGGAGGAAUACCGAUGGCGAAGGCAGGUCUCUGGGCUGACACUGACGCUCAUGCACGAAAGCGUGGGGAGCAAACAGG
rnacentral:rRNA from 1 species